ensembl:antisense Sox6os SRY (sex determining region Y)-box 6, opposite strand
GAGCCGAGGGUGCCGGCUGAAGCGCAGAGGACCUGGAAGCCGAACCCGCGCGAGCCUUACGGGGCUGUCCCUCGCCCACGCCGUCAGCGGGCCAGCCUGCGCAGCAAGCGUGCUGAGCAAAAAGGACCACCGUUGGGUUGCAAACUGCCUUGGAGUUCGGUUUGUGUACUGCUGAGAGGACCAUUAAAACGCGGAGAGCUACGAAGAUCCUGGAGUCCCGCCCGCCCUAGGCCAGCGUCAACCCCACAACUAGCCAACGAUCCCAGUCCGAAAUGGGGGAGGUUCAGAAGCCCUGCGGGUCCUCCCGGCCCCUGAGCCACAGCCUGGCUAACACUGACGCCUCUUAGAACUGCGGCGGCGGCGCAGUCACACGGCAAAUCGACACUUUUCAAGAAAACAAAAUAUUCAUUCUCUAACAAAACU